CCUGGUGAAACAUCGCUACCAUCGGGAAACGCCGUCGUUUACAAUCUCCGCGCUGCUGCAACUAACGCCACUGUUUUUGUCUCAUUCACCUUCUCUAUAGUAAAUAUCUCCUUGGCAUCAUCACUUCCUUUCUUCAAAACCCAAAAGGUCCUCUCUCUCCUUUCACUGUUACAGAAGCACAUAUACUCGGAUAUUAAACCGUCGCCGAUCGAAAGUCUCUCUUCCCACUGGAAGCGUUAAAUUUCUCUUCCCACUGGAAACGUUUGCUGCCUCUUCAGCUCACUGACUUCAAGCAAACCGAGUCACCGAUCUACAAUCCGUGCCUUAGUUUCUUAUUAUUGCCAUCUGUGUUGACUUGUGGUUGAGCAGGAAAUAGUCGUUGCGUUGAAGUUAUCUAAUGUGAUCACUGAGUUUGGUAGAGGGGCAAAUCCGUGGAAAAUGGAUCGGUCGACGAUAACCGUGGGACCCGGUAUGGAUUUGCCGAUCUUGCACGACAGUGACCGGUACGAUUUCGUCCGGGAUAUUGGGUCAGGGAACUUCGGGGUCGCCAGGUUGAUGAGAGAUAAGGUCACCAAGGAGCUUGUUGCCGUAAAGUAUAUCGAGAGAGGUGACAAGAUUGAUGAAAAUGUUCAAAGAGAAAUUAUUAAUCACAGGUCGCUCAGGCAUCCCAACAUUGUGAAGUUUAAAGAGGUCAUUUUAACUCCCACCCAUCUGGCCAUUGUGAUGGAAUAUGCCUCUGGAGGAGAACUUUUUGAGAAAAUAUGCAAUGCUGGACGUUUCAGCGAGGAUGAGGCAAGGUUCUUUUUCCAACAACUCAUAUCAGGGGUUAGCUAUUGCCAUGCCAUGCAAGUAUGUCACCGUGAUUUGAAGUUGGAGAACACUUUACUGGAUGGGAGCGAGGCUCCUCGCUUGAAGAUUUGUGAUUUUGGGUACUCCAAGUCUUCAGUGCUUCAUUCACAGCCAAAAUCAACAGUAGGAACUCCUGCGUACAUUGCACCAGAGGUGUUGUUGAGGCAAGAAUAUGAUGGCAAGAUUGCAGAUGUGUGGUCAUGUGGGGUAACGUUGUAUGUGAUGCUGGUUGGAGCAUAUCCCUUUGAGGAUCCUGAUGAGCCAAGGGACUUCAGGAAGACAAUACAGAGAAUUCUUAAUGUCCAGUAUUCCAUCCCAGACAUUGUUCAGAUGUCUCCUGAGUGUCGUGACCUGAUUUCUCGAAUUUUUGUUUUUGAUCCUGCAGCUAGGAUUACCAUUCCACAAAUCAAGAACCAUGAGUGGUUUCUGAAGAAUCUGCCGAUGGACCUAAUGGAUGAGAAGACAAUAGGCAACCAGUUUGAGGAGCCUGAGCAACCCAUGCAGAGCAUUGAUACCAUAAUGCAAAUAAUUUCUGAGGCCACCAUACCAGCUGCUGGGGCCCAUGACCUUAAUCGGUAUAUGGCAGACAACCUUGACAUGGAUGAUGACAUGCUGGACUUUGAUUCUGAAUCUGAGCUUGAUGUGGAUAGUAGCGGGGAGAUAGUUUAUGCACUGUAAUCACGGCAUUUCUUUACAAGAGGUGGUGGUUCUUCAGGCUUGUGGACGUAUCAAGAUCUAGGCAAAAAAAUGCAACCUAGAAUGUGCUAGUUUUUCUCCCUGGCUUAGUUUUGCACUAGUUAGAAGAGUCUCCUGUCUCUCUCAAUGUGCAAGUGCUUGUGAGCACUUGUGUCUCUUGAAAAUGCAUCUGGAUUUUGUGGACUGACCACAACCAAUAGAAGAACAGAGGAAAAGGGAGAAGAAAUAGAAUAAAUGGGAGGAGGAGAAGAAAGAGAAGGGAAGAAACAGAGAGAUCGAGAGAUGGUGUAUUUCUGUAUUAAGGAGAAGCCAAAGGAAGGAAUUGAAACCCAAAACAGAGAGAUAGAGAACUUAGGGAGAAGAUAGAAUUUCUGUAUUAUUUGAUUGAUAAGCCAACUACAAUUCAAUUCUCUAUUUAUGUUAGUACAUGAAUAACAAUCCUAACACUGUAUUUUGUUGAAGUAUCAUAGUCUGUGCUUUUGCUGUUA